rnacentral:rRNA from 1 species
GACCAGACUCCUACGGGAGGCAGCAGUGGGGGAUAUUGCACAAUGGGGGGAACCCUGAUGCAGCGACGCCGCGUGAGUGAAGAAGUACUUCGUUAUGUAAAGCUCUAUCAGCAGGGAAGAAUAAAUGACGGUACCUGAGUAAGAAGCCCCGGCUAACUACGUGCCAGCAGCCGCGGUAAUACGUAGGGAGCGAGCGUUGUCCGGAAUUACUGGGUGUAAAGGGAGCGUAGGCGGGGAUGCAAGUUGGGUGUCAAAACUACCGGCUCAACUGGUAGUCGCACUCAAAACUGCAGCUCUUGAGUGAAGUAGAGGCAGGCGGAAUUCCUAGUGUAGCGGUGAAAUGCGUAGAUAUCAGGAGGAACACCGGUGGCGAAGGCGGCCUGCUGGACUGCAACUGACGUUGAGGCCCGAAAGCGUGGGGAGCAAACAGGAUUAGAUACCCCGGUAU